rnacentral:rRNA from 1 species
UACGUAGGGUGCGAGCGUUAAUCGGAUUUACUGGGCGUAAAGCGUGCGCAGGCGGCCCGUUAAGACAGGUGUGAAAUCCCUGGGCUCAACCUAGGAAUUGCGCUUGUGACUGGCGGGCUCGAGUACGGUAGAGGGGGGUGGAAUUCCUGGAGUAGCAGUGAAAUGCGUAGAGAUCAGGAGGAACACCGAUGGCGAAGGCAGCCCCCUGGGCCUGUACUGACGCUCAUGCACGAAAGCGUGGGGAGCAAACAGG